CCAAAAACGUGCUAAAGAAAAAAUUCCCGCCGAGAUUCUCGCAUGCUUCGGGGAUUCGCAGUAUCGUAGUUGCAUUUGUUGUGGGCAUUGUUAAUGUUUUCAAACACCUAAAGGCUGACUAGUUUGAGGUACAUCCGUUAUCUUCAACCAGAAUGAAGGCAGUGUUUCAUCUUUGUGGCCCUCGCAUAUGAGCUUAUGUAGAAUUUGAAUUUUCCAUAAGCUGUUUGUCUGUCUACUUGGAUUCACUCAGGGUUUCAAGAUGGCUCUCAAAAAGGAGUGUACUACAAGGUGCAGGCGAAAAUCAUCGCUUAUGCUGUUAGAUAGUAGAUUAACGAAACCCUUGAAGGUUUCUUGAGGGCCGCUGUGGUGCUGAGUUUAGCUCUAACUUGCUUCAACACACCUGCCCUGGGGUUUCUAGUAUAUCUAGUAAGAACUUGAUUAGCUGCUUCAGGUGUGUUUGAUUAGGGUGACCCGAGUUUGGACACCCCUGCAUUAGAGGGAGAGUAAAUAGAUGGCCUGAUGCCUGUAGUCAGUUGGAUGAUUAUAUACACUAGAUGCCUUGAUUCUGCAUGAAUGGGGGAUUAACCACUAGAAGGUCCAUUCAAAGGAUUCUAGAAAUUGUACCAAUUCCAGUCUGGAUCCAGCCUACCUGGUGAACACCACAGAAGACAUCAAAGCUAAUGAGUUUAGAUAACUAGAACUGGACAAACAGAGUUGGCAAAAAUCAAAGCAAACACCACUACAUUACUAUAUUAUUAUUAAAACAAUAAAAAUAUAAAAGAGAUAGAUGGACUUGGUGAGAUUUACCUGUUUUGUGAUGAUUUUGUUUAGCUGUAGAUUUAAAUAUCCAUUGAGGAAAAAUAUUUGCACCAUUAAGAACUGAUCAUAUUGAUCUCUGUUGCUAUCUUAUGGCGGAACAAUGUAACGCCAAACUGCCAAAGAAUUUCCAUUAAAUAUUACUACAAUUUAUAAUCAAAUGUCAUUUGUUGAACAACAACAUGUAACAAACAAGAAUAUAAAGAUGCCAAAUAAAUAAGUCAAAUUGUUAAUGGAUGGCAACAUUUUGUCUGUUUAACUGAGCACAAUGCUUUUUAUGCAUCUGACUCCGCAACAGGAGAGUCAUAACACUUAUUAAAACAUGCUUAAAUCUA